rnacentral:rRNA from 1 species
UACAGAGGGGGCAAGCGUUAUUCGGAAUUAUUGGGCGUAAAGCGCACGUAGGCGGAUCGAUCAGUCAGGGGUGAAAUCCCAGGGCUCAACCCUGGAACUGCCUUUGAUACUGUCGAUCUGGAGUAUGGAAGAGGUGAGUGGAAUUCCGAGUGUAGAGGUGAAAUUCGUAGAUAUUCGGAGGAACACCAGUGGCGAAGGCGGCUCACUGGUCCAUUACUGACGCUGAGGUGCGAAAGCGUGGGGAGCAAACAGG